CCUGGUGGCUCAGAGGGUAAAGCAUCUGCCUGCAAUGCAGGAGAUCCAGGUUCGAUCCCUGGGUCAGGA
rnacentral:tRNA from 1 species